rnacentral:rRNA from 1 species
UACGAAGGGACCUAGCGUAGUUCGGAAUUACUGGGCUUAAAGAGUUCGUAGGUGGUUGAAAAAGUUGGUGGUGAAAUCCCAGAGCUUAACUCUGGAACUGCCAUCAAAACUUUUCAGCUAGGGUAUGAUAGAGGAAAGCAGAAUUUCUAGUGUAGAGGUGAAAUUCGUAGAUAUUAGAAAGAAUACCAAUUGCGAAGGCAGCUUUCUGGAUCAUUACUGACACUGAGGAACGAAAGCAUGGGUAGCGAAGAGGAUUAGAUACCCUCGUAGUCCAUGCCGUAAACGAUGUGUGUUAGACGUUGGAAAUUUAUUUUCAGUGUCGCAGCGAAAGCGAUAAACACACCGCCUGGGGAGUACGACCGCAAGGUUAAAACUCAAAUGAAUUGACGGGGACCCGCACAAGUAGUGGAGCAUGUGGUUUAAUUCGAAGAUACGCGCAGAACCUUACCAACACUUGACAUGUUCGUCGCGACUCUAAGAGAUUAGAGUUUUCGGUUCGGCCGGACGAAACACAGGUGCUGCAUGGCUGUCGUCAGCUCGUGUCGUGAGAUGUUGGGUUAAGUCCCGCAACGAGCGCAACCCUCACUUUUAGUUGCCAUCAUUAAGUUGGGCACUCUGAAAGAACUGCCAGUGAUAAGCUGGAGGAAGGUGGGGAUGACGUCAAGUCCUCAUGGCCCUUACGUGUUGGACUACACACGUGCUACAAUGGUAUCUACAACAGGAAGCAAGACUGCGAAGUUAAGCAAAUCCCUAAAAGAUACCUCAGUUCGGAUUGCACUCUGCAACUCGAGUGCAUGAAGCUGGAAUUACUAGUAAUCGUGGAUCAGCGUGCCACGGUGAAUGCGUUCCCGGGUCU